rnacentral:tRNA from 1 species
CCCUCGAUAGCUCAGUUGGAAGAGCAUGAGACUGUAAUUGGUUAAGUCGCGCAUCUCAGGGUCAUCGGUUCGAUCCCGAUUCGAGGGA